CCAUGAUGCUCUCUUGGGUCAGCUUCAGGUCACCCUCCAGUUUCCUCUUCGCUCGCUCCAGAUCCAUACGCACCUUCUUCUCCUGCUCCAGGGAUCCCUCCAGCUGGUGAAGACAAGGCCCAGCCAUGCCCCAUGAGGUUUGGAGGGCUCUGGUCUAUGGAUGUUUCCAUGUUACUGUUCUCCACUCUCCAAUGCAAAAUAGAACUCAUUUCCUUAACUCUGGUUUCUCUGUCUCAUAUGUUAGUUUGGAGCAUCUGAUGUCCUUAAGGACCCCCACUCAGUCCCUAGCUCCUCCAGCACCUGCCCUUGGCUCCAUCAUGAUUGUUCUCCUUCUGCUUUGCUGCUGUCUAAAGACAGAACCGCUUAGCCCAUUCCUUUAUAAUUUAACAAGUAUUUAUUGAGUAUCUACUA